AUGAUGAAGGGAAUCUCAUCGUUUGGAAAGCAUCACAGUAAGACACACACAUUGUGCCACCACUGUGGCUCUAAGGCCCACCACCUCCAGAAGACGACCUGUGGCAAAUGUGGCUACCCUGCCAAACACAAGAGGAAAUAUAACUGGGUGCCAAGGCUAAAUGGCGAAAUACCACCAGAACUUGUUGAAUGAGACACCUAAAAAUUGUUUGCCACAGACUGAGGCACAGAUUCCGAAAAGGAACACACCUAAACCCAAGAGGGUAGCCGUUGCAGCAUCCAGUUCAUCUUAA
rnacentral:lncRNA from 1 species